GACAGAGGAUGCAAGCGUUAUCCGGAAUGAUUGGGCGUAAAGCGUCUGUAGGUGGCUUUUCAAGUCCGCCGUCAAAUCCCAGGGCUCAACCCUGGACAGGCGGUGGAAACUACCAAGCUGGAGUUCGGCAGGGGAGACUGGAAUUCCUGGUGUAGCGGUGAAAUGCGCAGAUAUCAGGAGGAACACCGGUGGCGAAGGCGGGUCUCUGGGCCGAUACUGACGCUGAGGAGCGAAAGCGUGGGGAGCAAACAGG
rnacentral:rRNA from 1 species